rnacentral:tRNA from 1 species
UGGGGAUUGGCCAAGUGGUAAGGCAGCGGAUUCUGGUUCCGCCAUCGGGGGUUCGAAUCCCUCAUCCCCAG